UACGUAGGGGGCUAGCGUUGUCCGGAAUCAUUGGGCGUAAAGGGCGCGUAGGCGGUCGUGACAAGUCACUUGUGAAAUCUCCGGGCUUAACUCGGAACGGUCAAGUGAUACUGUCGGACUAGAGUACAGAAGGGGCAACUGGAAUUCUCGGUGUAGCGGUGAAAUGCGUAGAUAUCGAGAGGAACACCUGCGGCGAAGGCGGGUUGCUGGGCGUGA
rnacentral:rRNA from 1 species